AAAAGAGUUUGAUCAUGGCUCAGGACGAACGCUGGCGGCGUGCUUAACACAUGCAAGUCGAACGGUGAAGCGGGUGCUUGCACUCGUGGAUCAGUGGCGAACGGGUGAGUAACACGUGAGUAACCUGCCCUCCACUCUGGGAUAAGCGCUGGAAACGGCGUCUAAUACUGGAUACGACCGACCCUCGCAUGGGGUGUUGGUGGAAAGAUUUAUCGGUGGUGGAUGGACUCGCGGCCUAUCAGCUUGUUGGUGGGGUAAUGGCCUACCAAGGCGACGACGGGUAGCCGGCCUGAGAGGGCGACCGGCCACACUGGGACUGAGACACGGCCCAGACUCCUACGGGAGGCAGCAGUGGGGAAUAUUGCACAAUGGGCGAAAGCCUGAUGCAGCGACGCCGCGUGAGGGAUGACGGCCUUCGGGUUGUAAACCUCUUUCAGCAGGGAAGAAGCUUUUGUGACGGUACCUGCAGAAGAAGCACCGGCUAACUACGUGCCAGCAGCCGCGGUAAUACGUAGGGUGCGAGCGUUGUCCGGAAUUAUUGGGCGUAAAGAGCUUGUAGGCGGUUUGUCGCGUCUGCUGUGAAAAUUCAGGGCUUAACCCUGGACGUGCAGUGGGUACGGGCAGACUAGAGUAUGGUAGGGGAGACUGGAAUUCCUGGUGUAGCGGUGGAAUGCGCAGAUAUCAGGAGGAACACCGAUGGCGAAGGCAGGUCUCUGGGCCAUUACUGACGCUGAGAAGCGAAAGCAUGGGGAGCGAACAGGAUUAGAUACCCUGGUAGUCCAUGCCGUAAACGUUGGGCGCUAGGCGUGGGUCUCAUUCCACGAGAUCCGUGUCGCAGCUAACGCAUUAAGCGCCCCGCCUGGGGAGUACGGCCGCAAGGCUAAAACUCAAAGGAAUUGACGGGGGCCCGCACAAGCGGCGGAGCAUGCUGAUUAAUUCGAUGCAACGCGAAGAACCUUACCAAGGCUUGACAUGCACCGGAUCGCCUCAGAGAUGGGGUUUCCCUUUGGGCUGGUGUACAGGUGGUGCAUGGUUGUCGUCAGCUCGUGUCGUGAGAUGUUGGGUUAAGUCCCGCAACGAGCGCAACCCUCGUUCUAUGUUGCCAGCACGUAAUGGUGGGGACUCAUAGGAGACUGCCGGGGUCAACUCGGAGGAAGGUGGGGAUGACGUCAAAUCAUCAUGCCCCUUAUGUCUUGGGCUUCAAGCAUGCUACAAUGGCCGGUACAGAGGGUUGCGAAACCGUGAGGUGGAGCGAAUCCCAAAAAACCGGUCUCAGUUCGGAUUGGGGUCUGCAACUCGACCCCAUGAAGUCGGAGUCGCUAGUAAUCGCAGAUCAGCAACGCUGCGGUGAAUACGUUCCCGGGCCUUGUACACACCGCCCGUCAAGUCACGAAAGUCGGUAACACCCGAAGACGGUGGCCUAACCCUUGUGGAAGGAGCCGUCUAAGGUGGGACCGGUGAUUGGGGGGG
rnacentral:rRNA from 1 species